CUUGCUCUCGGGUGACGAGCGGCGGACGGGUGAGUAAUGUCUGGGAAACUGCCUGAUGGAGGGGGAUAACUACUGGAAACGGUAGCUAAUACCGCAUAACGUCGCAAGACCAAGGUGGGGGACCUUCGGGCCUCAUGCCAUCAGAUGUGCCCAGAUGGGAUUAGCUGGUAGGUGGGGUAACGGCUCACCUACGCGACGAUCCCUAGCUGGUCUGAGAGGAUGACCAGCCACACUGGAACUGAGACACGGUCCAGACUCCUACGGGAGGCAGCAGUGGGGAAUAUUGCACAAUGGGCGCAAGCCUGAUGCACCCAUGCCGCGUGUGUGAAGAA
rnacentral:rRNA from 1 species